AGAGUUUGAUCCUGGCUCAGGACGAACGCUGGCGGCGCGCUUAACACAUGCAAGUCGUACGGGGCCCUUCGGGGUUCAGUGGCGAACGGGUGCGUAACACGUGAGUGACCUGCCCUGGCACGGGGGAUAACCCGGGGAAACCCGGGCUAAUACCGCAUGCGCUCUUGAGGCUGAUGGCUUCGGGAGGAAAGGUGCUUUACGGCACUGUGCUGGGAGGGGCUCGCGGCGUAUCAGGUAGUUGGUGAGGUAACGGCUCACCAAGCCUAUGACGCGUAGGGGGUCUGAGAGGAUGGCCCCCCACAUUGGGACUGAGAUACGGCCCAGACUCCUACGGGAGGCAGCAGUGGGGAAUCUUGCGCAAUGGCCGAAAGGCUGACGCAGCGACGCCGCGUGCGGGACGACGCUUUUCGGAGUGUAAACCGCUGUCGGGUGGGACGAAGGUCCCGGGCAGGAAAUGGCCUGGGGAUGACGGUACCACCAGAGGAAGCACCGGCUAACUUCGUGCCAGCAGCCGCGGUAAUACGAAGGGUGCGAGCGUUGUUCGGAAUUAUUGGGCGUAAAGCGCACGUAGGCGGCCAGGUAAGUCUGUCUGUGAAAGCCCGGGGCUCAACCCCGUGGAUUGCAGGGGAUACUGCCUGGCUGGAGACAAGCAGAGGUUGGUAGAAUUCCGGGUGUAGCGGUGGAAUGCGUAGAGAUCCGGAGGAAUACCAGAGGCGAAGGCGGCCAACUGGGCUUGUUCUGACGCUGAGGUGCGAAAGCGUGGGGAGCGAACAGGAUUAGAUACCCUGGUAGUCCACGCC
rnacentral:rRNA from 1 species